rnacentral:lncRNA from 1 species
UUAGCCUUCAGCUGAGGAGCAGCUCCUUGAAGCAGCACCAGGACACCAGCGUCACACUGUCACACUGCUGAGAAGAACCCAUGGGAGAAGGAGCCCCGAUGCAAGCCUUGAUGACUUGGUAAGCAACGUACAGAAGGCUGCCAAUGGGAACAAAUGUAUUUUGGUGAUAUAGGUGAACUGUAUUUUAGCCGUACAUCGGCAAGAGAGUGCCUAAAAUGCUGCUGAGGGGACAGAAGUGCUGACCACACCUCGUGCCUUAUUACGGACUAUCAUUAUUAAGCUGCUAUAGACAGUCACUUCUAGCACUUUAUUCGUGAGUGCUGCUCACUGUGGAGCUGUUUGUCUCCUUUGAACACCUCAGAGCACAUGCCAUGAUUUCAUGAUCCCCUAUUGCUGCAGUGUCCCAGCUCAGCAGUGCCUGCGGUGCUGCCCCGGUGUGCGCAGUGGAGCUCUGCGUGUGCUGGUAAAUGAGCAGUGAGAAUGCAGCGAAAGCACCACUGCACAUCACUGUUUGAGAACUGUAAGAUCUAGAAAAGAAAGACAAGUUCAGACAGAAAAAUACAUCAGAAACAUCAUUAAACAUUAAUACUUGCAAAGCACUAAGAAGUUUUGAUACACUGGAAUUAAGGCAUCUCGUACAGCCUGCACCUGUUGUGGCAGUGCUUUCAGCUUUUCAUCAGCUAUUUGCUCACAUGCAGCUCUGCCAUUGUUUUUGUUGUUUUCCCCAAAUUCAUGUGCCCAGGAUGGUGACUGACUGGUGCAGAUGAGGCCUAUGAAAGGGUUUGCCUGGGAGCUGUGAAUUGCCCUCUGGCCAAGGAGUUGGUCCCUUCCUCCUCCAGGUCUUUGGUUACAAUGCUCCGAUUGCAAACACAGGUGUUUUUUUUUUUUUCAGUAGAUGAGUUCUUUGAUGGCAUGCAAACAGAAGACUGAGCAUGCAAAGAUGAAUGCUUCAUGCCAUCUCCUAUGGACAUAUCUCUGGUCGUGGGCUCUGGCAGGGCUGAGCAAUGCCCCAGGACUCAAUGAGGCUGAAGGCUGCAGAGAGCUCAACUGCGGUUUGCGACGUCAUGGGAUAGACCUACUUAUGCCAUCCUGCCCUUCAUGGUGUGCGCAGGGAGGGAGCCUGAGAGAGAGGAAAAACCCACACACAUGCACAGACCUUCCAUCUGUCUCUCUGAUUUACAUGCUUCAACACACUCUGGUGCUAGCCAGAACUCUGGGCACUACGUGUCCUUGCAUGGCCAGGAACCAGCGUGACCCAGGCUCCUGUUUGCUUGAGUGA